rnacentral:rRNA from 1 species
AUGCGGCCUCCGCUUCCCCUCCUCCCGCCGCACCUCCUCCGCCGCCUCGACGGCCGCACCCUCUCCACGCCGCUGCUCGACCCCCUCAUCCGCACCACCUCUUCCUCGCCCUCCACCCCGCACCACUCCUUCUCCCUCUACCUCCUCCUCCUCCGCUCCGCGCUGCGGCCCUCCCACCUCACCUUCCCCUUCCUUGGCCGCGCCGCCGCUCGCCUCGCCUCCCCGCGCCUCGCCCUCUCGCUCCACGCGCACCCGCUCCGGCUCGGGCUCCUCCCCUGGGACAUCUAUGUCGCGAAUUCACUCGUCCACAUGUACGCGGCCUGCGCGCUCCCCGACCUCGCCCGCCGCCUAUUCGACGAAAUACCGCGGCCGAACCUUGUUUCCUGGAAUGCCCUUCUCGAUGGCUACGCCAAGUGCCACGACCUCCUCUCCGCCCGCUGCGUGUUCGACCGGAUGCCCCAGCGGGACGUGGUCUCCUGGAGCGCCAUGAUCGACGGGUGCGUCAAGUGCGGGGAGCAUCGUGAGGCGCUGGCGUUGUUUGAGAUGAUGGAGACCACGGGGGCUGGCAAUGGUGUUAGAGCGAAUGAUGUCACAAUGGUCAGUGUGAUAGGCGCGUGUGCUCAUCUGGGGGACCUUGGGCGGGGAAGGCAGAUGCAUCGGUACCUUCAGGAGCGUGGCUUCCUGCUGAACCUCAGGCUCGCCACCUCUCUUGUGGACAUGUAUGCCAAGUGCGGGGCAAUCAGCGAGGCGCUUGAGGUGUUUCGGGUCGUGCCAGUGACCAGCACCGAUGUUCUGAUAUGGAACGCUGUGAUUGGUGGACUUGCAGUGCAUGGGUUGAGCAUGGAGUCGGUGGAGAUUUUCCAGGAGAUGCAACAUUCUGGUGUUGUCCCAGAUGAGAUCACAUACCUUGGUUUGUUAAGUGCUUGCGUACAUGGUGGUCUAGUGGGUGAGGCCUGGAGGUUAUUUCACUCACUUGAAGCUCAAGGGCUCAGACCACAUGUUGAGCACUAUGCUUGUCUUGUAGAUGUGCUUGGUCGAGCGGGCCGCUUGGAGGAAGCAUACGGUGUUGUUAAGAGUAUGCCAAUGGAACCCAAUGUGUCUGUACUUGGUGCUCUCUUGAAUGCAUGCCAUCUGCAUGGAUGGGUAGAGUUGGGGGAGGUAGUCGGCAGGCAGCUUGUUCAAUUGCAGCCAGAUCAUGAUGGCAGGUACAUUGGGUUGUCCAAUAUCUAUGCUAUUGCUAGGCGGUGGCAAGAGGCAAAGAAAGCAAGAAAGGUGAUGGAGGAGAGAGGAGUGAAAAAGAUCCCUGGGUUUAGCGAGAUUGAUGUCGGUGGAAGGCUCCACAGGUUUAUUGCCCAUGACAAGGCUCAUUCUGGCUCAAGAGAGAUAUAUGCGUUGCUUAAUCUUAUAACGGUGGAGAUGAAAAUGAAGGAUGAUGUUGCCAUUCCAGAGUACUUCUUACAUACAGAUAGGACAAUGGGUGCCUAA